GCGGGUGUAGCUCAGUUGGUUAGAGCGCCAGAUUGUGGCUCUGGAGGUCGCCGGUUCGAGACCGGUCACUCGCCCCA
rnacentral:tRNA from 2 species